UCUGUGGUGGCUCAUUGGUUUAAGGUGUUGGACUACUGCUCAGAAGAUCAUGAAUUCAAACCCCACCACCAAA